rnacentral:rRNA from 1 species
GACGAACGCUGGCGGCGUGCUUAACACAUGCAAGUCGAACGGUAAGGCCCUUCGGGGUACACGAGUGGCGAACGGGUGAGUAACACGUGGGUGAUCUGCCCUGCACUUCGGGAUAAGCCUGGGAAACUGGGUCUACUACCGGAUAGGACCACUGCCUGCAUGGGUGGUGGUGGAAAGCUUUUGCGGUGUGGGAUGGGCCCGCGGCCUAUCAGCUUGUUGGUGGGGGGAUGGCCUACCAAGGCGACGACGGGUAGCCGGCCUGAGAGGGUGACCGGCCACACUGGGACUGAGAUACGGCCCAGAUUCCUACGGGAGGCAGCAGUGGGGAAUAUUGCACAAUGGGCGCAAGCCUGAUGCAGCGACGCCGCGUGAGGGAUGACGGCCUUCGGGUUGUAAACCUCUUUCAGCACCGACGAAGCGCAAGUGACGGUAGGUGCAGAAGAAGGACCAGCCAACUACGUGCCAGCCGCCGCGGUAA